UCCACCGCCUCUCAUCGCCUAUAUAAGUAAACGAACCCCCUCUGUUUUUCCCACAUCGACCGAGCUCUUCGAGCUCCGUCUCUCUUCUCCCAUGGCCGAUCGUCGACGCCGUCGGUCGAUCUCCUCAUCCGUAGCUCCUCUUCCCUUCUCCUCGCACCACCGGCAUCGCCUCCAUCCGUCGAGUCCGUUUUUCCCCCUUUCCCCUCUCCCUCCACCUCUAAGUCAAGUCACCACCGCCAUCAUCCAUGCCGGCUCAAGGUGAGCCCUUGCCGCCGCCGUUCCGGCCAUCUCCCUCACUUCCUCCACCUGCCACCACCCUCCCUCACUUCCUCCACCUGCCACCACCCUCCUCGGGAGUGCAUCGCUCGGGAACGCGGUUUGACGCCGGUGUCACCGCCUCCCCACCACUGGAGCCUGGGCGCCCCCUCUCCUCCUCCUCUCUGUUCGACCGAAGAGAAGAAAGAGGAAGAGACGGGAGGAAGAAGAAGGAAAGAGAAAAGAGAAAAGAAAGACUGACAGACCGUACAGCAAGUUCUAUCGGCAUCCAAGGAGCUGAUGUGGACCCAGAUGGCUACGCUAAAGCCGCGGAAAAUCUUAAGGCGCAAG